rnacentral:rRNA from 1 species
CGAUGGAGGGGGAUAACUACUGGAAACGGUAGCUAAUACCGCAUAACGUCUACGGACCAAAGUGGGGGACCUUCGGGCCUCACACCAUCGGAUGUGCCCAGAUGGGAUUAGCUGGUAGGUGGGGUAAUGGCUCACCUAGGCGACGAUCCCUAGCUGGUCUGAGAGGAUGACCAGCCACACUGGAACUGAGACACGGUCCAGACUCCUACGGGAGGCAGCAGUGGGGAAUAUUGCACAAUGGGCGCAAGC